rnacentral:rRNA from 1 species
CAGUAGCCGCGGUAAUACAGAGGGUGCGAGCGUUAAUCGGAUUUACUGGGCGUAAAGCGUGCGUAGGCGGCUUCUUAAGUCGGAUGUGAAAUCCCUGAGCUUAACUUAGGAAUUGCAUUCGAUACUGGGAAGCUAGAGUAUGGGAGAGGAUGGUAGAAUUCCAGGUGUAGCGGUGAAAUGCGUAGAGAUCUGGAGGAAUACCGAUGGCGAAGGCAGCCAUCUGGCCUAAUACUGACGCUGAGGUACGAAAGCAUGGGGAGCAAACAGGAUUAGAUACCCGUGUAGUCCCUGUCUCUUAUAU